rnacentral:rRNA from 1 species
GGAGUUAGCCGGUGCUUCUUCUGUGAGUGAUGUCCUUCCUGCCGGCUAUUAACCCGCAGGCCUUCUUCCUCACUGAAAGUGCUUUACAACCCGAAGGCCUUCUUCACACACGCGGCAUGGCUGGAUCAGGGUUGCCCCCAUUGUCCAAUAUUCCCCACUGCUGCCUCCCGUAGGAGUCUGGGCCGUGUCUCAGUCCCAGUGUGGCUGAUCAUCCUCUCAGACCAGCUACGGAUCGUCGCCUUGGUGAGCCGUUACCUCACCAACCAGCUAAUCCGACAUAGGCUCAUCCGAUAGCGCGAGGCCCGAAGGUCCCCCGCUUUCCCCCGUAGGGCGUAUGCGGUAUUAGCCUGGGUUUCCCCAGGUUAUCCCCCGACUACCGGGCAGAUUCCUAUGCAUUACUCACCCGUCCGCCGCUCGCCACCAGGGAGCAAGCUCCCCGUGCUGCCGCUCGACUUGCAUGUGUUAGGCCUGCCGCCAGCGUUCAAUCUGAACCAAGAUCAACUCUGA